UGCAUCGGCCGGGAAUCGAAACCGGGCCGCCAGCGUAGCAGGUGAGCAUUCUACCACAGAACCACCGAUGG
rnacentral:tRNA from 1 species